GCCUCCAAGGCGUAAUCGGCUAGCUCGUUCGGCUGUUCACCAAACGGGUGGUGGUUCGAGCCCAACUGGAGGCG